UUAAAAGAAUCUGAAUCAAAUCUCAAGCUGAAUGCAUGUGUACAUGCGAAGGCUAGAUCCCUCUAUCUAUGCUUGAUGCUGUCUGCUAUAGAUUUCAUGGUGGUAAAGUCUUAGAGAGCAUACAUUUAUUCAUUACGUCAACAAAAUAGUGCUAACCAUGAGAUGCAUCUUGCCCAGAAUUUGUUGUGGUUGUAAAUGAAUGUCUCAAACAUUGCUCAUUGGUAAUUCUAUGUUUAAGUUGAAAGUUGGUACC
rnacentral:lncRNA from 1 species